AACGCAUAUUGCACUCUUUGGUAUUCCGAAGAGUAUGCUUGUUUCAGUAUCAUGAAAAUCUCACAAUUUUCAAUUUUUUUUUGAAAAUUAGUGGACUUGGAUUUGCAAUUCUUUGGAAUGGCUAAUCUCAAAUAGAUUUCAUGAAGCUCAAAGGCUUUCAAUCUUUGCUUAAUAGUUUUGCUUUGUCAAAUCUUUUGCAUUGAUUUAGAAGCAAAAGUGAAUUGAUUUUACGAAAAUUAAUGUCAUUUUUUGAUCUGAAAUCAAGUAGGACUACCCGCUGAACUUAA
rnacentral:misc_RNA from 1 species